GCAAGUCGAGGGGUAACAGGAAAGCUUGCUUUCGCCGACGACGGGCGCACGGGUGAGUAACGCGUAUGCAACCUACCUCAUACUGGAGGAUAGCCCAAGGAAUCGGGGAUUAAUACUAUAUAGUAUCCCGAAUUCGAAUGUUUUUGUGAUUAAAGUUUUUCGGUAUGAGAUGGGCAUGCGUCCCAUUAGGUUGUUGGUGGGGUAACGGCCCACCAAGCCCACGAUGGGUAGGGGCCCUGAGAGGGGGAUC
rnacentral:rRNA from 1 species